rnacentral:rRNA from 1 species
GUGCCAGCAGUCGCGGUAAUACGUAGAAGACUAGUGUUAUUCAUCUUUAAUAGGUUUAAAGUGUACCCAGACGGUUUAUAUAGCCUAAAUAAGGUACUAUAUAUAACUAGAGUUAUAUAUGUAAUGGCGCAGUAAGGUACUGUUGAGUGUAAAGAUGAAAUUUUGUCAUACCAGAUAAGUGGCACAGAUUUAGGCGAAGGCAUCGUUUUAUGUAAUAACUGACGUUGGCGGACGAAGGCUUAAGAAGCGAACAGGAUUCGGUACCCCAGUAGUCUUUGCAGAUAAUGAUGAAUGUCAUAGGUUAAAUAUAAUUUUGUCUAUAAAUGAAAGUGUAAGCAUUCCACCUCAAGAGUAAUUUGGCAACAUUGGAAUUGAAAUCAUUAGACCGUUUCUGAAACCAGUAGUGAAGUAUGUUGUUUAAUUUGAUGAUCCGCAAAAAACCUUACCACAAUUUGAAUAUUAAUUGUUAUUACAAGCGUUGCACGGCUGUCUAUGGUUAAUAUCGUGAGAUUUUGGUUAGCUCCUUAAAAUUAACGUAAACCCUUACUUUAUUUUUAAAUAAAGUUGUUCACCGCUAUAUUGGAUAUGAUAACAGGGACUAAGACAAGUCAUCAUGGC